AUGCAGUCGAGCGGAUGACAGGAGCUUGCUCCUGAAUUCAGCGGCGGACGGGUGAGUAAUGCCUAGGAAUCUGCCUGGUAGUGGGGGACAACGUUUCGAAAGGAACGCUAAUACCGCAUACGUCCUACGGGAGAAAGCAGGGGACCUUCGGGCCUUGCGCUAUCAGAUGAGCCUAGGUCGGAUUAGCUAGUUGGUGAGGUAAUGGCUCACCAAGGCGACGAUCCGUAACUGGUCUGAGAGGAUGAUCAGUCACACUGGAACUGAGACACGGUCCAGACUCCUACGGGAGGCAGCAGUGGGGAAUAUUGGACAAUGGGCGAAAGCCUGAUCCAGCCAUGCCGCGUGUGUGAAGAAGGUCUUCGGAUUGUAAAGCACUUUAAGUUGGGAGGAAGGGCAGUAACUUAAUACGUUGCUGUUUUGACGUUACCGACAGAAUAAGCACCGGCUAACUCUGUGCCAGCAGCCGCGGUAAUACAGAGGGUGCAAGCGUUAAUCGGAAUUACU
rnacentral:rRNA from 1 species